AGAGUUUGAUCCUGGCUCAGAACGAACGCUGGCGGCAGGCCUCAUACAUGCAAGUCGAGCGAUUAAGACCCCUUCGGGGGUGCAUAAAGCGGCGAACGGGUGAGUAACAGGUGGAUAACCUGCCUCUUGGUGUGGGACAACAGCUGGAAACGGCUGCUAAUACCGCAUGUGAUUGCCGGGCCCUCGGGCCUGACAAGGAAAGGCGCUUCACGGCGCCGCCAUGAGAUGGGUCCGCCCCCCAUUAGCUAGUUGGUGGGAUAACAGCCUACCAAGGCAUCGAUGGGUAGCCGAACUGAGAGGUUGAUCGGCCACACUGGAACUGAGACACGGUCCAGACACCUACGGGUGGCAGCAGUAGGGAAUAUUGCGCAAUGGGCGAAAGCCUGACGCAGCCAUGCCGCGUGAGUGAAGAAGGUCUUCGGAUUGUAAAGCUCUUUUCUGAGGGAAGAACCCUGGCAGAGGAA
rnacentral:rRNA from 1 species